ACCCGUAAUCCCCCCAGGCCCGA
rnacentral:siRNA from 1 species